GCGGGCGUAGUGUAAUGGUAGCACGGUAGCCUUCCAAGCUCCCUGAGAGGGUUCAAAUCCCUUCGCCCGCUCCA
rnacentral:tRNA from 1 species